rnacentral:tRNA from 1 species
GCCAUGGUGAUUCAGUGGUAGAAUUCUCGCCUUCCAUGCUUGGAGACCUGGGUUCUAUUCCUGGCCAAUGUA